rnacentral:rRNA from 1 species
CCGAAUGGGGAAACCCGCAUAGAGUCAUGUCUAUGCAUCCUUAUCUGAACACAUAGGGUAAGGAAAGCGACCUGGAGAACUGAAACAUCUAAGUAACCAGAGGAACAGAAAUCAAUUGAGAUUUCCUUAGUAGCGGCGAGCGAACGGGAAACAGCCUAAACCUUUAUUGUGUAAGCUUGCAGGCGUUGCAUUAGAGGUGUUGUAGGGCAUUCUAGAUAUUACUGCAAUAAUAUCAGUAAGUCAGAAAAUAUUAGAUUAGUAGAAUAAGCUGGAAAGCUUAGCCAUAGACGGUGAUAGCCCGGUAUACGAAAAUCUAGUAUCUUACAGAAUUGUCCCUGAGUACCGUCGGACACGAGAAAUCCUGCGGGAAUCUGGGUGGACCAUCAUCCAAGGCUAAAUAUGACUGUGCGACCGAUAGCGAACAAGUACCGUGAGGGAAAGAUGAAAAGAACCNCGGNAGNGGAGUGAAAUAGAACAUGAAACCAUAUGCNUACAAGCAGUCGGAGGUNCAUAUGNACUGACGGCGUGCCUAUUGAAGAAUGUGCCGGCGACUUAAUGUNAGUUGCNAGGUUAAGUUUUUAUACGGAGCCGUAGCGAAAGCGAGUCUGAAUAGGGCGAAAGUAGCUNGCAUUAGACCCGAAACCNAGUGAUCUAUCCAUGGGCAGGAUGAAGCGANAGUAANAUUUCGUGAAGGUCCGAACCGUNGUAUGUUGAAAAAUGCUCGGAUGACCUGUGGAUAGUGGUGAAAUGCUAAUCGAACCAGGAGAUAUCUGGCUCUCCCCGAAAUGACUUUAGGGUCAGCCUUGAGAAUAAGCAUUAUGGAGGUAGAGCACUGUUAAGGCUAGGGGGAUCACCAAUCUUACCAAACCUUGGCAAACUCCGAAUGCCAUAAUGUACUACUCAGGAGUGAGUCUUAGGGGGCUAAGCUCCUAAGACAAAAGGGAAACAACCCAGAUCGUCAGNUAAGGUCCCUAAAAUAUGCUAAGUGGGAAAGGAAGUGAAGUUGCUUAAACAGCCAGGAGGUUGGCUUAGAAGCAGCCAUCCUUUAAAGAAAGCGUAANAGCUCACUGGUUUAGUGAUUUUGCGCCGAAAAUGUAACGGGGCUAAGCAUAUUACCGAAACUACGAGAUUGCUUGCAAUCGGUAGGGGAGCGUUCUGUANUAGGCUGAAGAUGAAUCGUGAGAUUUGUUGGACGAAUCAGAAGUGAGAAUGUCGGCAUGAGUAACGAAAAGAUAAGUGAGAAUCUUAUCCGCCGAAAACCUAAGGUUUCCUGGGGAAGGCUCGUCCGCCCAGGGUUAGUCGGACCUAAGUCGAGGCCGAAAGGCGUAGUCGAUGGACAACAGGUUAAUAUUCCUGUACCACUAANAGCGCGUUAUCAGCAAUGGGGUGACGCAGUAGGAUAGGUCAGCCACUUAUUGGAUUGUGGUUUAAGCAUGUAGGAGGAAGAGAAUUGGCAAAUCCGUCUCUUCAUACUCUGAGAUGUGAUGACGAGGUGCUUGCACUGAAGUGAUUGACUCCACACUGACCAGAAAAACCUCUAGUAAGUGCUUUUGGUGCCCGUACUAAAACCAACACAGGUAGGUAGGUAGAGAAUACUAAGGCGCGCGAGAUAACUCUCGUUAAGGAACUCUGCAAAAUAGCCUCGUAACUUCGGGAGAAGAGGUGCCUAGNUAACGUGANNNCACUUGCUGNNNNAGCGUGAAUAGGUUGCAAUAAAAUGACUCAAACGACUGUUUAUCAAAAACACAGGUCCAUGCGAAACCGUAAGGUGAUGUAUAUGGGCUGACGCCUGCCCAGUGCUGGAAGGUUAAUAGGAGAUGUCAAUCUUCGGAUGAAGCAUCGAAUUGAAGCCCCAGUGAACGGCGGCCGUAACUAUAACGGUCCUAAGGUAGCGAAAUUCCUUGUCGGGUAAGUUCCGAC